GUGUCAGCCGCCGCGGUAAGACGGAAGGUGCAAGCGUUGCUCGGAAUCACUGGGCGUAAAGGGUGCGUAGGCGGCUUGGUAAGUUGGGUGUGAAAGCCCCGGGCUCAGCCCGGGAAGGGCACUCGAAACUGCCGAGCUGGAGUGCCGGAGGGGAGAGUGGAAUUCCUGGUGUAGCGGUGAAAUGCGUAGAUAUCAGGAGGAAUACCGGUGGCGAAAGCGACUCUCUGGACGGCAACUGACGCUGAGGCACGAAAGCGUGGGGAGCAAACAGGAUUAGAAACCCUGGUAGUCC
rnacentral:rRNA from 1 species